UACCAGCACCCCGAGUGGUCGGGACGAUUAUUGGGCCUAAAGCAUCCGUAGCCGGUCAUGCAAGUCAUCCGUUAAAUCCACCUGCUUAACAGAUGGGCUGCGGAGGAUACUACAAGGCUAGGAGGCGGAAGAGGCAAGCGGUACUCAGUGGGUAGGGGUAAAAUCCUCUGAUCCAUUGAAGACCACCAGUGGCGAAGGCGGCUUGCCAAUACGCGCUCGACGGUGAGGGAUGAAAGCUGGGGGAGCAAACCGG
rnacentral:rRNA from 1 species